UGCAGUCGAGCGGUAACAGAUCUAGCUUGCUGGAUGCUGACGAGCGGCGGACGGGUGAGUAAUGCAUAGGAAUCUGCCCGAUAGUGGGGGAUAACCUGGGGAAACCCAGGCUAAUACCGCAUACGUCCUACGGGAGAAAGGGGGCUCCGGCUCCCGCUAUGGGAUGAGCCUAUGUCGGAUUAGCUAGUUGGUGAGGUAACGGCUCACCAAGGCCACGAUCCGUAGCUGGUCUGAGAGGAUGAUCAGCCACAUCGGGACUGAGACACGGCCCGAACUCCUACGGGAGGCAGCAGUGGGGAAUAUUGGACAAUGGGCGAAAGCCUGAUCCAGCCAUGCCGCGUGUGUGAAGAAGGCCCUCGGGUUGUAAAGCACUUUCAGCGAGGAAGAACGCCUAGCGGUUAAUACCCGCUAGGAAAGACAUCACUCGCAGAAGAAGCACCGGCUAACUCCGUGCCAGCAGCCGCGGUAAUACGGAGGGUGCAAGCGUUAAUCGGAAUUACUGGGCGUAAAGCGCGCGUAGGUGGCUUGAUAAGCCGGUUGUGAAAGCCCCGGGCUCAACCUGGGAACGGCAUCCGGAACUGUCAAGCUAGAGUGCAGGAGAGGAAGGUAGAAUUCCCGGUGUAGCGGUGAAAUGCGUAGAGAUCGGGAGGAAUACCAGUGGCGAAGCGGGCUUCUGGACUGACACUGACACUGAGGUGCGAAAGCGUGGGUAGCAAACAGGAUUAGAUACCCUGGUAGUCCACGCCGUAUACGAUGUCAACCAGCCGUUGGGUGCCUAGCGCACUUUGUGGCGAACUUUACGCGAUGAGUCGACCGUCUGGGGAGUACGGCCGCAUGGUUAAAACUCAAUGAAGUUGACGGGGCCGCUCAGCGGUGGAGCAUGUGGUUUAAUUCGAUGC
rnacentral:rRNA from 1 species